GGGGUGGCGCCUUCCUCGCGCCACGAGGGGUCCAGGUCCCGCCAGUACUGCGGCGCCGACUGAUCAGAGAAAGAUGCACACAAAUCAACCUAUUUCUCUGUUGCAGAAAUUCAUAUCAGGGUGUCAAACUGUAAUAUUAAGAAGACAAAGAAGAGGCCAGUUCCACUUGCUUUCCAUUUGGCUGCUGGAGAGGUUCAUGCUCAAUAAAACUAAUACUCCCUCCGUCCCACCGUAAGCGAUUCACUUUCAUUUUUGGGAUGUCCCACCAUAAGUGAGACAUUUCCCUUUUUAGCAAAAGUUACUACAUUUCGUCUCCCUUACUUUUUUCUCCCACCUAUUUUAUUCUCUCUUCAGUCCUCUAUUUUUCUCUCUCAUACUUACCCUCUAUCCACUUACUCUUUCAAUAUCAAUUACUGAAAUCUCGUUCCCAAAAGAAGUGUCUCGCUUAUGACGGGACGGAGGGAGUAAAUAAA